UACGUAGGGUGCAAGCGUUGUCCGGAAUUAUUGGGCGUAAAGAGCUCGUAGGCGGUUUGUCGCGUUGUCCGUGAAAACUCACAACUCAAUUGUGGGCGUGCGGGCGAUACGGGCAGACUGGAGUACUGCAGGGGAGACUGGAAUUCCUGGUGUAGCGGUGGAAUGCGCAGAUAUCAGGAGGAACACCGGUGGCGAAGGCGGGUCUCUGGGCAGUAACUGACGCUGAGGAGCGAAAGCGUGGGGAGCGAACAGG
rnacentral:rRNA from 1 species